GAUGAACGCUGGCGGCGUGCUUAACACAUGCAAGUCGAACGGAAGGGCCAGUGCUUGCACUGGUACUCGAGUGGCGAACGGGUGAGUAACACGUGGGUGAUCUGCCCUGCACUUCGGGAUAAGCCUGGGAAACUGGGUCUAAUACCGGGUAGGACAAUGGUUUGGAUGCCGUUGUGGAAAGUUUUUUCGGUGUGGGAUGAGCUCGCGGCGUAUCAGCUUGUUGGUGGGGUCAUGGCCUACCAAGGCGUCGCCGGGUAGCCGGCCUGCGAGGGUGUACGGCGGCUUCAGGCCUGAGAUAGAGCCCCGAGUCCUAAGGGUGGCAGAAGUGGGGAAUGCUGGACGGUGCGACGCCGCCUGAUGCAGGGAGGCCGCGUGGGCGAUGACGGCUUUCGGGUUGUAAACUCAUUUCGCUAGGUAAGAAGCGUAUUCGUGACGGUACCUGGACAAGAAGCACCGGCUAACUACGUG
rnacentral:rRNA from 1 species